UCCACUUCUGGGUUUUCAGCUGUUAAUUGGAAGAAAGAGUCUCAAGGACUUUCCUGUCUGAGCAGGCUCCAAACUGUGAUCCUCAGAUCUCAGCCUCCUCAGUUACUAGGAUUAUAGGCGUGAGCCGCUCAUGCCAAGCAGAAUUAUUCCUUUUUGAUAUGUCAGUGCUUCACUUAGUCAAGUAACAAAUACCCAGCCUUUUUGCUAGACUUAUCUCCCAUGAAAGUUUAAUUAUGGAGUUUCCUAGAAAUAUAUGGCCAUCAAUUAACAAUUGCAAGUGUUGUCUGCUAAUAAUACUUAAUAUAAACAUGCUUUACCCAUAGCCAUUAAAGGCAAGGAAUAUAGCCAGGGCAGAGCAGUCAUUGUAGGAAUGUUCACAGCACCUCCUCCAGUCUGAUCAGUUACUGCCAGAGAUCAGAAUUUGGACUCAGCAAAGACACAUGAUGAGUGGCUAGCUGAAGGGUUGUCAGGAGUACAAAUAUUUGUAAAAAAAAAAAAAAAAAAAAAAAAAACACUGCCUGUAGCUCAUGGACCUCACCAAUGACAGGCAGUAUUAUGUACAAUAAUGAUAAUGUUAUAUUACCAGUUUUAGCUUAUUUCCUCUCCUUUUGCUUUAUAGUACUGAAAGUUUCUUAGUUUCUAUGUUAAAAUGAUUUGCAGGCCAUAUCUUU